CGGCAACCUUGAAAAAGGUUUUAAAAGGGAAGAGAGCUGAUAGCUCCACAGCCCCCGCUGCCGUUGCGAGGCGCGUCUUUGUUCACUGCUUUUGCGGGAAGGACAAAGAAUGUAAAGCGCGCGCAUUAAUUUUAAGUCGGAAGACCUACCGACAGG
rnacentral:ncRNA from 1 species